rnacentral:rRNA from 1 species
AUUGAACGCUGGCGGCAGGCCUAACACAUGCAAGUCGAGCGGAGCGGCGGACGGGUGAGUAAUGCCUAGGAAUCUGCCUGGUAGUGGGGGAGAACGUCCGGAAACGGGCGCUAAUACCGCAUACUAUCAGAUGAGCCUAGGUGGGAUGAGCUAGUUGGUGGGGUAAAGGCAUACCAAGGCGACGAUCCGUAGCUGGUCUGAAAGGAUGAUCAGUCACACUGGAACUGAGACACGGUCCAGACGCCUACGGGAGGCAGCAGUGGGGAAUAUUGGACAAUGGGCGAAAGCCUGAUCCAGCCAGGCCGCGUGUGUGAAGAAGGCCUUCGGAUUGUAAAGCACUUUAAGUUGGGAGGCGUUACCAACAGAAGAAGCACCGGCUAACUUCGUGCCAGCAGCCGCGGUAAUUC